CUCCGUUAUGUUUAAUUAUAUUAACAUUAACUAUGUUUAAUUAUGACUUAUUAACACUAAUUUUAAAAGCUUAUUCUGUCCUGAGAAUAAACUAAGAGAAUAGGAAAAACAUAACCUCCUUGCCGGAGGGGAACAUUUCUCCCAUUGACACGUUACUUGAGAUCAUACUAUUUAAUAACAGCUCCAGUGCUGUUACUAGUACAGUCGCUGAAAUGAUUCCACCAGCUCCACAGCACUGUAAAUAUAAUAGUUCUUUUGGUUUUUUUCAACCCGUGGCAUAUGGAAGUUCCCAGGCUAGGUGUUGACUCGGAGCCAUAGCUGCCAGCCUGCACUGCAGCCACAGCAACGCAGGAAGCGUCAGCAACCUACUCCUACACCACAGCUCACAGCAAUGCCAGAUCCCUAACCCACUGAGCGAGGGCAGGGAUUGAACCCACAUCCUCAUGGAUACCAGUCAAAUUCAUUUCCGCUGGGCCAUGACAAGAACCCCCUAUUUGUUUUUUGACGCAGCUCAAAUUGACACAGAUUCAGCUACUUGUGGGCUAAACAGUGUUUGUGAUGGGUUACAUUAUCGACCUUUUAAUACUCUUGUCUCUACGGGAGGAUAUGUUUCAGGUUCCCUUAAUUUUAUUUAUAAGUGAACUUUGGAAACAUAUCCAUUUGUAAUAUGCCUAUACCCUCAUGUAACAAUAUUGCUCUAUCUUUUAUUAAGAAUGCAUUGCAUUUAACUACAUAUGAUAUGAUAAUAAUUAAAAAACAAAGAAUGCUUUUCUAGUAUUUCCUUUUCCUAUUUAGAAGCAUCUAGGUCAUUCUCUGCUCUGUGCUUCAGAAGAAGGCUGAGGACAAAAAAAAAAAGAUAGAUUCAAGAAGGUAUUUCCUGGCAUUUGGGGAUCAGCCGCUCAGGCCUGAAUAGAGGAGUGGAUGGGGAGGAAGUGAAAUGGACUCCGUUCAAAGACAAUAAAGCUGAUUCAGGGCAGCACCUGAUGUUGCAAGAGCCAUGCUUCCUGGUUCCUUCUUACCUCCAGACCGGAUCACAACCUCCUGGGCCCAGACUGGAAGAGGUGUCGGAAAGGAGAUUAGAGCCCGAAACCUGUGGAGGGUUGUUUCUCUGGGGCUUCAGGAGGAGCUCACGGAAGCCCCGCUUCACGUGAGCGAUUCUGUCAGUGAGACUGUCCGGGAGCAUCAGCUUCCAGCUGCUCAGCUGGCCUGGCGAGCAGGAUGACAAGCUGCGGAAACAUGACGACGGCAAAACGGUCUGAACUUCCAGGAGCACGUGUGAACCCAGGCAGCAGGUACCACUUCAAAACAGAAAUAACAGUGAGUUUCAAAGACCGUGAUGAGGUUGGAGAGAGUCAGACCACCACCAGUUCACAAUUAGAC
rnacentral:lncRNA from 1 species